rnacentral:rRNA from 1 species
GCGGCCUAUCAGCUAGUUGGUGAGGUAAUGGCUCACCAAGGCGACGACGGGUAGCCGGCCUGAGAGGGCGACCGGCCACACUGGGACUGAGACACGGCCCAGACUCCUACGGGAGGCAGCAGUGGGGAAUAUUGCACAAUGGGCGAAAGCCUGAUGCAGCGACGCCGCGUGAGGGAUGACGGCCUUCGGGUUGUAAACCUCUUUCAGCAGGGAAGAAGCGAAAGUGACGGUACCUGCAGAAGAAGCACCGGCUAACUACGUGCCAGCAGCCGCGGUAAUACGUAGGGUGCGAGCGUUGUCCGGAAUUAUUGGGCGUAAAGAGCUUGUAGGCGGUUUGUCGCGUCUGCAGUGAAAAUCCGAGGCUCAACCUCGGACUUGCUGUGGGUACGGGCAGACUAGAGUAUGGUAGGGGAGACCGGAAUUCCUGGUGUAGCGGUGGAAUGCGCAGAUAUCAGGAGGAACACCGAUGGCGAAGGCAGGUCUCUG